ensembl:lncRNA
CUCCGGGCUAAAGCUGAGAAGCAGGACCCAAACCUCCACUUCCAAGACUUUAAUGUGGUCCAGGCUGGGGGCCAGGGAUGCUGUGAGGAGCUGCAAGCAGUGAGCUCGAGAAUCUAUUGCUUCAGAACUCUCAGUACCAUGAAGUCAGUGGAAUGAUCACUGUCAAGAAUGAGUGCGCAACAGGGGAGCAAAUGACAUCAUUCAUCUCUGGCACAGUGGGAAUGAGUGGAGAUGGACGUGGUCAAGGAACAUUUCUUCACUCCAUGCUCUUAAUAAUUGAGAAACACAUGGGGAUACUGUUUCUAACCCUAACUACUGAAACAACAGGUGGACCUGGAAGUCAUUCAAGAACUGAGAUAAGGACAGCUUCUUUCAUAAAUGACCGGGGAGGUGAAAGUCUAGAAAAUAAACAGUGAACUUCUCACUUUGAAAUAGCAAUAAUUAUAGAGUAAUAAAUAUCAAAUACAUAAGAGAAAAAAGACAAAAUUAAAGACAUUUGUUGCAUUACAUGAAAAAAGCCAUGAGAUUAAAAAAUGUAGAGAUUUUGACUUCUUCUAAAUAAAAUUGAUAAGCAAGCAUUAAUGCUUUCCCCUCUGUACCUUCUGUAGUCACACACAAAUGGACCCACCCCAAACACACACACGCACUCAGAGUUUACUUUUAACAAGAGUUGAAGCCAUACACAUUUGUGUUUCUAUUUGAAGACACAGAUUGGGGAGAGCAUAAGGGAGGAACAUCUCAGGGGUUUCCAGAAGCAAAGUGGAUCAUGGCUCAGCUGAGCAGCUCCUCAAAAGCCACUCCCAGCUGUGCUCCAGUCUGCCCCACUGUGAAGGCUAAACUGCUAAUUGCUUUCCUUCCCUUUCUUGCAGUAAAGUGUAGGUAUAAGACCUAAUUCUGGGUCAUGCGGAGUACAUGGAAAUCUGCUGGGG